rnacentral:lncRNA from 1 species
UCCCCUGGACCUCCCCUCCCAGCCACCAUCAUUCCUCCAGCCCCCCAGCCUCUGCACACCACGCCCUCUCACCGGCUCUUGUUUUCCUCAUGGCUGCCUUCCAGCUGGGCUCCAAACACCCAACUAAGGCCAUUUCCUGGCUGCCAUCCUGAACCAGUGCUGCAAUUGCUAAAAUAUUAAUGGCUCCCUUUGUGGAAAAAUAACACAGUAAAGCUUGCUGUAAAUUAAAGUUGCCAGUACCAGGUGUCGCCAUGGGAAAUGGCAGGUGCACUGGCUGGAAUUCACCAUCUUGGCCACCUGGAUGGGGGGCAUGACAAGGGAGAUAACACCCGUGGUUUUGCCUGGCUGCCUGCUCUCCUGGGUGCCCUGGGGGCGAGGGGGAGGAAAGAGCAGCACCGAGUUGAAAACAAAAGAGAGUACAAAGGGCUGGGGACAGAGAUAGCAGAGGAAGAGGAAAAAUUGGGACCCAUCCAAGUGAGUUUGCCAGUAACUGUCAUGGCUACAGAGCAUAUGCCAGCCUUCCCAGGAGUCCUGGCCACAUCUCCAGGUGCCCGGGACUCAAACCCUCUCUUCUAUUCCCAAAGCAACCUGGCCACUCUUUCUGCUAAGUUCCUGAUCUGA